AAUUACUCACCUUACAGUGGGAGAAUUAUAAGAAGUUACAUGUUCAACAAUUACAAUCCAAUCGACGUUCUUCAUUCCACAUGAGAUUUACACUGUGUAAUACAUAUACAUACGUAAAUGUCGUAACGUUGGUAAUGCAUGUGGAAUGAAUAGCGUCGAUUGGAUUGUAAUUGUUACUUCUUAUAAUUCCGAGACUGUACCAAAUACCAUAAAAUUCUUUU